CUGCAAGGGGUGUUUAACGACCUCGAUGAUUAUCCAUGAGGAUCUCGCACUCGGUUAGCUCUAGGUUUUCACCUAGUUCAUGAUCAUACAAGAAUUGAGAAGUCUUAUAAUAUGAGACUUUGGAGUUCAUAUAAUUUACAUUCAACGUUUUUAUCGAAUAUUUCAAGGCUUUUUGACUAUCAAUGUUGACCCCCCCCCUCCAAUUGAUUGGAUAAAAUGAAUGGAUUGCCGCCCCUAUUUCAAACUGAGGUCCUAUAAACUGACUGGUAUUCGAAUUUGUUAAAAGAAAUAAUUGGUAGCUCUGACUCAUAUUGAUUCAAUACCGUAAUGCGAAAAACAAUCAUUUGUUUCCGCGAAUUCCGAACAGUUAGAAAUAUAUUCCCGAGUUUCAAUUUGAGUAACUCGAAUAAUUCAAGCCCUUUCCGUGUCCGAUUUUCUCCCACACGAGAAAUGUAGCAUUCGUACAUCAGCUGAAUAAUACGACUGAAUUAUUCGGGUUACAAUUUGUGUAAAUCCCGAAUGCACAUAAAAGUAAAGGUCCAGCCCGACUUUCGGAAAAGGACUGUUGUAGAUUUCAGAUUGAUUUCCAGAAAUAAAAAUCAUACAAAAAUGUUUCACGCAAAUAUUCGUCUUCAGACGUGUAAAGUUAUACAACGGUUACUAGCCGGUCUGGGUUGUGAUAAAAAGAAGAUCAUGCAAUGCAUAAAAUAUAUAAUGUCGUGGCUCAGGGAUGUGUUGAAUUAUAGAGAUGCUUAUGCGGCACAAAGAUAAGAUUAAUUUACCCAAAUGUACUAAGAAUUACCACACAACUUAAAUUUACUUAAAUAUUGAUUUGUUAUCCUGUGCCAGACAGAUGGCUGAUAUUCUGAGAAGAGACCUUGAUGAAAUGAAGUUUUAUGGGAACAAAGAUUUUGAAAACACGUCGCAGUGUUUAGAUUUUAACAAAAAUAAGGCACCAAGGUCGAAAAUAGUUCUAGUUCAUAAUGAAGAAAAUGUCAACCGUUUUCUAGCUUGGCGAUCUCCGCAUGCACCCGAAUAUAAUAGACAAAUACAAUACAAUAGUACACAAAACGUAACAUAAAGAACUAAAGACCGAGCAACAUGAACUCCAACAAAACGGUAUAUAUUUCAUACAAGUAUAGAACUUAUGUGUAUAUGAAGCGUCGUAACUGUUGCAGCGACGUCAAUAACGUUGUCGUUGUUUUUUGUUUUUUUACACGCAAAAUUCAACUUUAACAGGGUAUAGCUUGAAAAGUAGCACGGUUGCUAAGGACUUUCUUUGCACCAAUCGAUUCCUCAGACAUUUUAGAAUCGUCUCAUAAAUUUAAAAAAAAAUCGAUUGUCUAAUAUAAUAGAAAAUCUUGGAAAUGUAACAAUUCCUGCCGAAUUUCACGAUUUUCCCUAUAUAUCCUUUGUAAUUUUGGUGUAUGAUGCUGUUAACUUCAACAGCUCGUAUCUCAAAAACGAAAACGGUUACCCCCUUUUUUUAUUUUAUUUUCCGAUUUAUUUUUACAAGUAAAAUCUACAUGUAAAAUUUAAAAAAAAUCCAUUGUGUAGUUUAAUUACGUACACUUCGCCUUAACGGAUAUUUCGUAAUUAUAACAGUUUUUAACAUUACUACCCAUUUUAUAUUGAAUACUAUAUAUGUU
rnacentral:lncRNA from 1 species